AGCCAGCCGCCUAAGGUGGGAUAGAUGAUUGGGGUGAAGUCGUAACAAGGUAGCCGUAUCGGAAGGUGCGGCUGGAUCACCUCCUUU
rnacentral:rRNA from 2 species